GAUGAAGAACGUAGCGAAAUGCGAUAAGUAGUGUGAAUUGCAGAAUUCAGUGAAUCAUCGAAUCUUUGAACGCACAUUGCGCACCUUGGUAUCCCGAGGGGCAUGCCUGUUCGAGCGUCAUUUCACCACUCAAGCCUGGCUUGGUGUUGGGCGACGUCCUCUUUGGGGACGCGCCUCGAAACGCUCGGCGGCGUGGCACCGGCUUUAAGCGUAGCAGAAUCUUUCGCUUUGGAAGUCGGGGCCCCGUCUGCCGGAAGACCUGCUCGCAAGGUUGACCUCGGAUCAGGCAGGGAUACCCGCUGAACUUAAGCAUAUCAAUAAGCGGAGGA
rnacentral:misc_RNA from 1 species